UACGUAGGCAGCAAGCGUUGUUCGGAGUUACUGGGCGUAAAGGGUGUGUAGGCGGUUGUUUAAGUUUGGUGUGAAAUCUCCCGGCUCAACUGGGAGGGUGCGCCGAAUACUGAAUGACUAGAGUGCGGGAGAGGAAAGUGGAAUUCCUGGUGUAGCGGUGAAAUGCGUAGAUAUCAGGAGGAACACCGGUGGCGAAGGCGGCAUCCUGGACCGGUAUUGACGCUGAGGAGCGAAAGCCAGGGGAGCAAACGGG
rnacentral:rRNA from 1 species